GCCCGUGUAGCACAACGGAAGUGCAAGUGACCUGUAAUCACUAGGUUGGGGGUUCGAAUCCCUUCGCGGGCUCCA
rnacentral:tRNA from 1 species